rnacentral:misc_RNA from 1 species
AACGCACAUUGCGCCCUGUGGUAUUCUGCAGGGCAUGCCUGUUCGAGCGUCAUUAUAACCACUCAAGCCUGGCUUGGUGUUGGGGUUUGCGGUUCCGCAGCCCCUAAAAUCAGUGGCGGUGCCGGUGGGCUCUACGCGUAGUAAAUUUCCUCGCGAUUGAGUUCCCCCGGUGGCCUGCCAGAACCCCCAAUUUUUACAGGUUGACCUCGGAUCAGGUAGGGAUACCCGCUGAACUUAA